AUUGAACGCUGGCGGCAGGCCUAACACAUGCAAGUCGAACGAGUGGCGGACGGGUGAGUAAUGUCUGGGAAACUGCCCGAUGGAGGGGGAUCACUACUGGAAACGGUAACUAAUACCGCAUACCAUCGGAUGUGCCCCGAUGGGAUUAGCUAGUAGGUGGGGUAAUGGCUCACCUGGGCGACGAUCCCUAGCUGGUCUGAGAGGAUGACCAGCCACACGGGAACUGAGACACGGGCCAGACUCGUACGGGAGGCAGCAGUGGGGAAUAUUGCACAAUGGGCGCAAGCCUGAUGCAGCCAUGCCGCGUGUAGGAAGAAGGCCUGCGGGUUGUAAAGUACUUUCAGCGAGGAGGCGUUACUCGCAGAAGAAGCACCGGCUAACGCCGUGCCAGCAGCCGCGGUAAUUC
rnacentral:rRNA from 1 species